CUUCAGUUUUUGAAAGAAGUGGACCUUCCAUGGUCAAGAAUGUUUUAAUAACUGAAAAGAAUAAUUCUGAUGUAGAUGAUAAGGAAGUUCAGGAAAAUCCAGAUGACUCAAGAGUAAAAGGAUCUCAAGUAACAUCAGAAA